AAAGUGCCCCGGCUUAAACUCCGGCGGACUACACCACUGUCCUGCCCCCUCGGGGGUAUGGUUAUUGUGUCUACCCAUUGUGAAACUUCUACCUUUGCUUCGGCAGCACUCUCAGCGAAAGCUGGAGGGAUAAGGCUGUCAGAAGCCCAUAUCAAACUAGUUGAUGAAAUGUCAUGCUGUCUGAUAACUACUAUUUGAGAAAUCAAAUUAUCUUA
rnacentral:misc_RNA from 1 species